AACUAUAAGGACAAAUACACCAUUUCAAAUUGUUUCACCUUUUAGUUAAUCUACUACCUAUCCAAGAAAGAAAACUAAAUCUGAUGACUUUCAUAUACCUUAUAUAGUUUUGUUUUUUUCUUUCAACCCUCAUUAUUUAUAUCCACUCCCCCUUCCUCCUUUUUCACCAACUACAAUUCUCCUUCUUCCAUUUGAUCUUUGAAGCAACUUACUGAACUAAUGGAGCACGGUAACAUCACCUAUUUGAAGGAUUUGGAUUUGGCUCGCCGUGAUUACACUGUGAAGGUUCGUGUACUCCGUUUAUGGAAGCAACCCAUGUAUAACAAUCCAGAGCAGUUUUACUCAAUCGAAAUGAUCGUUGUUGAUGAAGAGGGAACCACCAUGCAAGCCAAUGUUCUCCGAAGAUGG